rnacentral:tRNA from 2 species
GGAGGAUUCGCCUAGUGGCCUAGGGCGCACGCUUGGAAAGCGUGUUGGGUGCAAGCCCUCAGGGGUUCGAAUCCCCUAUCCUCCGCCA